UGGCCACAUUACAUUGAAACACAUGUUCCCACAUGACCACUGAAGUUAAGCAAUGUCAAGCUUGGUCAGUACCUAGAUAGGUGACCACUUGGGAAUACCAGUUGUUGUAA